CUUCACCAACUGAUUUCUCUAGCCACAGCUUCUUGAUUAGUCGCAUCAGCCACCUUCUUUGACGCCGACCCUGACACGUGUCAAAAACCGACGCAACACAUGCCCCCCAAUUUUGGAGUAAAACAUAUCUUUUGCUCUGAAAUUCUCUCAACUUUGAUUCUUUCCCCCAGAAGAGAUGCAACAAUAAAUGUAGCAAAAUCCUUCUUGCUCCCGAAAUCCUCUCCUUGAUGAUUGCAUUUUUCGAACAGAGCGCCCGUAGGUAUCCGCUCUUUUCGAAAUUAGCACAGACAGCAUGGUAAAAAUUCCAUAUUUACCCUUCUCCUGGGCCAUUCCACAGAUAUUCAUCCCUUCCGCCGCUUCUUCUUCCUCCGAGCAAAAAGGGUUUCCUUCCGACGAAUCAUCCCCCGGUGCAUCCUAGCGACCUCGCUCGUGCUGCUUCUUGGGGCAUCCCGGUGCACUUCUAGUGACUUGCCCACGUCCUCCACCGGCCGCACCGGCUCCCAGGUUCCCAAUGGUGGCACCCACGGCUACCAUGGCUUUCAUCCCUAAGGUAAGUUUUCCUGGCCCUCCUCAUCCUUUCGCGAUUUUAAGUCCGCUCUUAGUUAUUCUUCGCAUUUGCUUAGGAACUUAGGCAGAGAAUCACCAUCCCUAUGGCCGACACCCUUGGAUUCAUCGGCCUUGGUCCUAUGGAAGAUCCUAACCCGACUGAUUUGAUUAGUUUAGAAACUCACAGGAUCCUUUUUAAGCACUCUACCAUGGAGUUAGAUAAUUGGGCAAAUACUUUCAAGUCUUGGCCGAAUAAAACCCCCAAAUGGAGAGAUUGGUU
rnacentral:lncRNA from 1 species